UGCCUCGGCCCCACCACGGGGCUUUGCUGCUGUGCCUGAGGCUGCGCAGAAGGCUGCACUGGCGGAGACACUGCAGCAGGAGUAGAAGAUCCCGCUGGCAGCGGCUGAUCCCUUAGCUGCUCUCUAUCCAUUGCCGUUGGCGACGAAGCAUUUUGCACCUCUGAAUCUUGAACAGUCUCCGGCACCAUCGACGAGUCCACAUCCAUUGCUUCAAAUCUACAAUCCGAACCCUAAUUUCAAGAUCGGAGUUAGAAUUCCAACUAAUUCGCAUCCCUAAUCAACAUUUUCAACGGUUCACUCCCAAAUUCAACAACAACAGCGUUUAACCAAUAGAAACCCUAGCUGAGAGAUUCUAUUUUAGCAAUCACAAAAAAAAAAAAAGGAGAACUCCAAAAAUUUUCCGGGAAAAAUAAAAUCUGGAA
rnacentral:misc_RNA from 1 species